rnacentral:rRNA from 1 species
UUGAUUACGUCCCUGCCCUUUGUACACACCGCCCGUCGCUGCCCGGGACUGAGCCAUUUCGAGAAACUUGGGGACCGCUGGCUUGCGGCACUUGUUGUUGCUUGUUGGUGGAAACCAAUUUAAUCGCAGUGGCUUGAACCGGGCAAAAGUCGUAACAAGGUAGCUGUAGGUGAACCUGCUGCUGGAUCAUU